rnacentral:misc_RNA from 1 species
UCCCCGUUAUCCUGGGCAGUCCUUCCAGAGUUCCCGGCAUGACCCGUUGGCAACUGGAAGCAGGGGGUGCGCUCGUUGCGGGACUUAACCCAACAUCUCACGACACGAGCUGACGACAGCCAUGCAGCACCUGUGCAAGCUGGUCUUGCGACCUCGUCACCCUUUCAGGCUUCUACUACUUGCGUGUCAAGGCCAGGUAAGGUUCUUCGCGUUGCAUCGAAUUGAGCCACAUACUCCACCGCUUGUGCAGGCCCCCGUCAAUUCCUUUGAGUUUUAGUCUUGCGACCGUACUCCCCAGGCGGAGUGCUUAACGCGUUAGCUUCGGCACCACGAGGGUCAAAGCCCGUGACACCUAGCACUCAUCGUUUACGGCGUGGACUAC